GAUGAACGCUGGCGGCGUGCCUAAUACAUGCGAGUCGAGCGAACAGAUGAGGAGCUUGCUCCUCUGACGUUAGCGGCGGACGGGUGAGUAACACGUGGAUAACCUACCUGUAAGACUGGGAUAACUUCGGGAAACCGGAGCUAAUACCGGAUAAUAUAUUGAACCGCAUGGUUCAAUAGUGAAAGACGGUUUUGCUGUCACUUAUAGAUGGAUCCGCGCCGCAUUAGCUAGUUGGUAAGGUAACGGCUUACCAAGGCAACGAUGCGUAGCCGACCUGAGAGGGUGAUCGGCCACACUGGAACUGAGACACGGUCCAGACUCCUACGGGAGGCAGCAGUAGGGAAUCUUCCGCAAUGGGCGAAAGCCUGACGGAGCAACGCCGCGUGAGUGAUGAAGGUCUUCGGAUCGUAAAACUCUGUUAUUAGGGAAGAACAAAUGUGUAAGUAACUAUGCACGUCUUGACGGUACCUAAUCAGAAAGCCACGGCUAACUACGUG
rnacentral:rRNA from 1 species